UACGUAGGGUGCGAGCGUUAAUCGGAAUUACUGGGCGUAAAGGGUGCGCAGGCGGUUAUAUAAGACAGAUGUGAAAUCCCCGGGCUUAACCUGGGAAUGGCAUUGGUGACUGUACGGCUAGAGUGUGUCAGAGGGGGGUAGAAUUCCACGUGUAGCAGUGAAAUGCGUAGAGAUGUGGAGGAAUACCGAUGGCGAAGGCAGCCCCCUGGGAUAACACUGACGCUCAUGCACGAAAGCGUGGGGAGCAAACAGG
rnacentral:rRNA from 1 species